GCCGGGUUUGGGAUGACGAUCAUCUCGAAGAUGCUGAGGACCCCUUCCUCAGGCUUGCUCACAGUAGCGUUGAUUCCAUCUUUCUUCGGCAGCCCUGCACAUGGUUUAAUGAAUGCUUUACUUCGUCCUGCUGUCUUCCGUGGCUGGGGUGCGCACGGACCAUCUAGAACACGCCAGCUUCGCGUAGGCCGACCAGACCAGCGCGCAAGCUAUCAUGGUCGAAGAUUUGCACGUGCAGUAUGGUUUUCGCGAUUCACCAUGGAACUGAAGGAUACGCCAUUCGACAGCGCCUGCGCAGCUACACGGCCAACAUGCAGCGCCUCACCAGAACACCUGUAUAAAAGGCCUCUCUCCACACUACGGCUUCAUUGGAUACGGCAGUGCAGUUGCGAUGGUGACAUCUAACCCUUUCGUCUUCGUUGUACAGCUCAUCUAGACGCCGGCUGGCGGCGAUUUCACGAAGACCACGAAGCAGCAGUGCCCUCCAAGGCCCAGACCCGCGGUGAGGGCCCCAGCCGCGGUCCUGUACCAAGGCACCACGGCCGAAUACCACCGCCAACUCGUGGAGAGCGCUCAGGGAGGAGACAGAAGGAAGACGGCAUGCAAGGCGCCAGUCACCCGUUGGUAUUAAAGGAACAAAUAAAGGAAUAUUCAUAAUAAAGCAACAAAUAAAGAGA